rnacentral:rRNA from 1 species
UACGUAGGGGGCGAGCGUUGUCCGGAAUCAUUGGGCGUAAAGAGCGUGUAGGCGGUCGAUCAAGUCGAGUGUGAAAGCCCCCGGCUCAACUGGGGAGGGUCACGCGAUACUGAUCGACUCGAAGGCAGGAGAGGGUAGUGGAAUUCCCGGUGUAGUGGUGAAAUGCGUAGAUAUCGGGAGGAACACCAGUGGCGAAGGCGACUACCUGGCCUGUUCUUGACGCUGAGGCGCGAAAGCUAGGGGAGCAAACGGG